rnacentral:rRNA from 1 species
UACAGAGGGGGCAAGCGUUGUUCGGAAUUACUGGGCGUAAAGGGCGCGUAGGCGGCCGCCUAAGUCAGACGUGAAAUCCCUCGGCUCAACCGGGGAACCGCGUCUGAUACUGGGUGGCUUGAAUCCGGGAGAGGGAUGCGGAAUUCCAGGUGUAGCGGUGAAAUGCGUAGAUAUCUGGAGGAACACCGGUGGCGAAGGCGGCAUCCUGGACCGGUAUUGACGCUGAGGCGCGAAAGCCAGGGGAGCAAACGGG